GCUGUUGUAGCUUAAACCUAAAGCGUAACACUGAAGAUGUUACAAUGGAUUAUAGGAAAUUCCAAGAGCA
rnacentral:tRNA from 1 species